GAGGCGGAUGUUCUCGCGGAUCGACAUGUUGAACAGCAUGUUCUCCUGGAACACCACCGCCAUGCUCCUGCGCAGCGAGUCGCGCGUCACCCUGCGGAUAUCGACGCCGUCGAUAGUCACCUUGCCCUCGUUCGGCUCNNNNNNNGUAGAGGCGCAGGAUCAGAUUGAGCAGCGUGCUCUUGCCGGAGCCGCUAGGCCCCACAAUGGCGAUGUUCUUCCCCGCGCCGAUCUUGAGCGAGAGCCCGUCGAGCACCGCGGCGUCGCUGCCUUCAUAUUUGAAGACCACGCGGUC
rnacentral:misc_RNA from 1 species